rnacentral:misc_RNA from 1 species
GGAAGGAUCAUUACUGAGUUAGGGUCUUGUCAGGCCCGAUCUCCAACCCUGUGUCUACCGUACCAUGUUGCUUCGGCGGGCCGGUCUUCGUGACCGCCGGGGGCCCAUAACCUGCCCUUGGAGAGCGCCCGCCGGUGGCCUAGUUAAACAAACUCUUUGAUGAACUGUGUCGUCUGAGUCUUUGAUAUAAUCAAAACAAAACUUUCAACAACGGAUCUCUUGGUUCUGGCAUCGAUGAAGAACGCAGCGAAAUGCGAUAAGUAAUGCGAAUUGCAGAAUUCAGUGAGUCAUCGAAUCUUUGAACGCAUAUUGCGCCCUUUGGUAUUCCGAAGGGCAUGCCUGUUCGAGCGUCAUUAUCAACCCUCAAGCGUUGGCUUGUUGUUGGACCGCGUUGAGUGAUCAACUGGUCUCAAAGACAAUGACGGCGUCCGUGGGACCCUCGGUGCAAUGAGCUUUCACAAGCACGCAUCAGAGUCGAAAGGACCCUCGGCCCGGUCGAGACAUUUGAUGUUUCUAAAGGUUGACCUCGGAUCAGGUAGGAAUACCCGCUGAACUUAAGCAUAUCAAUAAGCGGAGGAAAAGAAACCAACAGGGAUUGCCCUAGUAACGGCGAGUGAAGCGGCAAUAGCUCAAAUUUGAAAUCUGGCUGUUUUGCAGUCCGAGUUGUAAUUUGUAGAGGCAGUUUCGGGCACGGUCUCGGGUUAAAUUUCUUGGAACAGAAUGUCAGAGAGGGUGAGAAUCCCGUCUUGACCCGGCGACACGGUCCAUGUGAAACUCCUUCGACGAGUCGAGUUGUUUGGGAAUGCAGCUCAAAAUGGGUGGUAAAUUUCAUCUAAAGCUAAAUAUUGGCCAGAGACCGAUAGCGCACAAGUAGAGUGAUCGAAAGAUGAAAAGCACUUUGAAAAGAGAGUUAAACAGUAUGUGAAAUUGUUGAAAGGGAAGCGCUUGCAACCAGACUUGAGCGCGGUGGUUCCCCCUUCCUUCUGGUUGGGUUAUUCCACCGUGUCCAGGCCAACAUCAGUUUUGGGGGCCGGUUAAAGGCCUUGGGAAUGUAUCUAGUCCUUCGGGGCUAGACUUAUAGCCCAGGGUGUCAUGCGGCCUCCCGGGACUGAGGAACGCGCUUCGGCGAGGAUGUUGGCGUAAUGGUUGUAAGCGACCCGUCUUGAAACACGGACCAAGGAGUCUAACAUCUAUGCGAGUGUUCGGGUGUCAAACCCUUGCGCGGAAUGAAAGUGAACGGAGGUAGGAAGGCCUGAGCCUGCACUAUCGACCGAUCCUGAUGUCUUCGGAUGGAUUUGAGUAAGAGCAUAGCUGUUGGGACCCGAAAGAUGGUGAACUAUGCGUGAAUAGGGUGAAGCCAGAGGAAACUCUGGUGGAGGCUCGCAGCGGUUCUGACGUGCAAAUCGAUCGUCAAAUUUGCGUAUAGGGGCGAAAGACUAAUCGAACCAUCUGGUAGCUGGUUCCUGC